GUCCCUGAAGCGCAAUGAAUUGCGUGUUGGAAUUUUAAUCCAAAGGUCAUGGGUUCGAAUCCCACCUGGGAUG